rnacentral:rRNA from 1 species
AUGCCGGUGACAGUGCUGCGGCUAACUUCGGGCACGCCGAAGCACCCCGGAUGGGUGUUCUUCAAAUGCGAAAAUGAUAGGGAAGACAGAUGCUCAUUUUGGUAUUGGGAAGGCGAAUGCAUUGAUUUAUUGAUAGAAAGAAACUUAAUAGACGUUCGUGCACUCCUUAGUAGAAUCGAAGGCAAUGAAGCGGCUGCAUGUGCAACUAGAGGGGAAGCAACGUCUACUUCUUUAGAACCAAAGAAGAAGAAUGAAGAAUGCAAAAUCAAGAAUUCACAGAUCAACAAUGAAUGCAUGGAGAAGAUAUUGGUCCAAUUAGUGGGAGCAGUUAUGGAAAUUGAAAAUCUUCUAAAAUGCAUAAUUGCGAUUCUUGUUUUCUUUGGUCUUGCUAUUUUAGCAAAGAUUUGGUGA